UCAUGGCUCUUGGUCACUGACCACAGGGGAAGCUCUUUGGCAAUAUCAGAAAAGAAGAAGCCAGAUUGUAAACGGAAGUGCUGCCCAUCCUGGGCAGGCAUGUUUGGGGAGGGCUCCCACCUCCCAAGUCCUCGGAAGGAGCCUGGUCCUGCCUCUCCGGGUGGUCAGAUUAGCCUGAGGCAGCCCCUCCACAGAGCCUCCCCUCUGGCCUAGAGGCUCUGCUUGUUUUCUCAUCCUCCAAGGAGAGCGAGGCGAUGGGUCUGCCCCUGCUGCUGCUCCUGCUGCUGCCCCUGCUGCCGCCAGCAGCUCUGCAGGCUGGUGGCUCAGCAGAAUGCACUUCAAACCUUAAUUAUGAAGUCCACCAACCAGAGCACCUCUCAGCCCCUGAGGGUGGCUCCAUCGACAUCCCCUUCUCCUUCUGUUACCCCUGGGAGUUAGCCCGUCAUCCCAACGUGCGUAUAUCCUGGAGAUGGAAACAGUACCAUGGAGAGUUCAUCUACAGCACAACCCCGCCGUUCACCACAACCUCACCGUUCAUCCAUAAGGAUUUUAAAAACCGCCUCUCCCUGAACUGGACAAAGGGCCAGAGGAACGGCUCCCUCCGGAUCUCCAACCUGCGGAGAGAGGAUGGACGUAGCUACUUCUGCCGAGUCCAGUUGACCACACGGAACGAAGGCGAGAAGGUGUGGCAGUCCAUCACAGGGACCAAACUCAUCAUCACCAGAGCCACCAAACCCACCAACACCACCACCACAGAUGGCCUCAGUAUCUCGGGGAACAAAGGGAGAUCAGGGUUUUGGCCCUUGAGUAAGGAAGUUGUGGUAAGCAUGGCAGUGGCCAGCACUGUGCUCAAAAUUGCAAUUUUGGGACUGAUGGUCUACCUCAGGUGGAAGAGAAGCAAAGAGUUUUCAUUCCCAGUGAUUAAAAAAUAUAAUGUCCAGAGUGGAGUGGAGGUCACUGGAGUUGGGGGAUGGGUGAGUCCAGUGCCUGAGAGGAUUGUCCCUGUGGAUGAUGAGACCUCACAGGAAGGUGGGCAGUGGUGGAGAGGAUGUAUGAGAACCGGGGCCAAAUGCUUGGGAAUUGCUGUGGAGAGACUUGAGAAGGAGGUGGAGGGGGAGAGUGCAGGGAGGUGGGGAGGAACAACAGAGUCCUCGGUGGAAGAGAGGAACAGGCUGCAGUGUAAACACUGAUCCCAGCCCUGAGGUUCAGAGGUAGGAGAGAGCAACAGCCACCACUCAAAGGAAAGCAGAAGAAGCUGGUUUGUCACAGCAGGAGGAGCGAUGGUGCCUGAGGCGGGGAAGGGGAGGGGAGGGAAGGUGGGCCAGGCUCAGCAGUGGAAGGAGAAGGUUGAGGGAUUGCAAGGAGUUGAAGGAAAGAGGAAGGAAGCAGAGGGAAAGUUAGGGAGCGAGGGCAGGGUGAAGGGGGCACAGGGUGCAGAGAAGAGCUGCUCUCCUGACUUGGUGUUGAGGACAAAAGCAGGAGAGGUGUGGGCAGCCUCAGGAUGCCAGCUGGUGCCACUCUGAGUCCUAGGCCCUUCCAACAGGAGUUUCAGCAGAGCUGCUUUGCUGCCCUGGUUUAUCCAAGGAUGGUCUCAGAGUAGGAUGAAGCAGAAAAGCAGGAGGAGAUGCUGUUCAUGGAAGGCACACUGACAUGCUGUUGGUUCCUCUACAGGUCUAUGAACUAAACCAGAGCCCCCGCUAGGUUGAUGGCAUCCUCUAUGCCUCCCUUACCCUCUCCAACUCAACCUCACCCUCACCGACAGCACCUCCUAGCCACCUUCUCUACGAGAGCCCCCAGGAAGAGACCCUAUACUCUAUGUUACAGACCUAAGGAGUGUGACUGAGUGAUGACCUCCUUAGAGUAAGCUGCACAGAAGGAUCACUACUUCCCAUAACAAUCCCAGCCAGACACCGAUGACUCAGAAGCCAGCAGGGGUCAAAGACCACCAAGGACCUAAGAAAAAUAGCCAUCUGCUCCAGUUCCCUCUUCGUCUCGUUCCCUUGCCCACAAAAAUAAAAGUACCUGUAGGAUUUGCCUGCAUGCAUCUAGGAAAAAAAUUGAUGUCACCUUCAACUUCUGUCCUUCUUGCCAAAAAUAAACUACAAUACAUAGCUCA